CUGUUUUCUGGUUUCCUGAGGAAUGAGAUAUCCCACCAGGUAAAUAAUUUAGCGUUUGCACUCCCGGCGGCGGCACAGAGCAGUGCUUGAUACAGCCUUUAUCAUUUCUCAGCCCUCUUUGAUAAUCCAUAACUGUCUUGUGCAAUUAUUUUCAUUGCCCGGCCAGGCAAGGAUAAAAAGCACAACAUGCUUCUCUCGCCUUCUCCCAGGGAAACUCCAUUAGCAUUGAAGGGUCAUGUGACCACUAAAAGGCCAAUCACGGAGCAGCUAGGCAAUCCACAGGGCAAUCUCUGUAAGAGUAGAAAAUGAAGCUGUUACCAGACAGAAAACUGCAGUCCUGGUUUCUUAUGAAUAUUUGAAUGAGUAACUAAAAACAGCUCAGUGAACUUUAAGCAGCUGUGACAGCUGAAACUGCCUUAGAAACCAGGAAUCCUAAAGGAGCAGAAAUUUCUGCCAGCUAUAUGUGCCCCGUGAUGUAAAAAACGUUGCAAUGGCUUAAUCAUGGAAUAAAUUGUGUCCAGCUGUGGAUACACAGUAACACCCAUCAUCCCCAGGCAUAGUAAAUCAACAAGCGUAAAGCACUAGGGUGGCCGCCUUAUUUUAAAUGAAAACAUCUGUAAGCUUUCAGUGCUGCGAUAUAGUUCAGCAUCCUUUUUAUAAAUACUGAUUCAGUGUCACUCGACCACGAAUGUUACAUUUAUUAAGAUUUGUUUGUAAAGUAUCAAGAGUUACCAGAGCACUGCCCAGCGAUGACAGUAUACUCAUGGCGGUGAUAAGGACACCGGUGUAGUACAGUGCUUUCUCACUUCAUUUUCAAAGAAGGUAAUACUAUUUUCCAGCCCAUAGGCAUUGUUAGGGGAUAGAUUUAUGGGCUAAAGACUCAGAUGUAAGACUCCUAAGCCCUGGAUCCCUUGGAAUGGCAAAAUACUUGUGCUCUUGUUUCUUAUACUGAGUUGCUGUUAAUCAAAGUAGGUAGUCACCUGAUGUAAAAGGAAAAUGUAUUAAUAUGCUUUCAGAGUAAUGAUUAGUAAGGCUUCGGGGCGAUAUGAGACACUAAGGAGGGGGUUACAGGAGAUGGUAAGAAGCAAACAAGGGAUUUUUAGGAAAUGGAGAAAUAGGUGAAUGGUUAUCUUACAGGGACACUGUAGGCACCACGACCACUUCAACUCACUGCUGUUUUCAUUGCAGGGUUAAGACUGCCUUUAGUGGUUGUCUACCAGACAGCCAGUAGAGACACUUCCUGCAGUUUUACAGAGUUUAACAUUCAGCAUCUUGCAGAUCACCAUAGGAAAGCAUUGAUUAAAGGCUUUUCUGUGGGGAAGGCCUAAUGCGUGAGCAAUGCUCCUGCGCAUGUGCAUUAGGUUCCCCCUCUUACUGACAUCGGAGGAGGCAGAGAGGGAGCCAGCGCUGAGGGACAUGAGGACUUGAAUCAGGAAAAUGUUUAAAGGGUUAAGGGAGGCGCAGAGGAACACUAUAGUGUCCCUUUAAUAAAAGUCAACCAUGAGCACCCAGCAUUCCUGCUGUUGAAAGCCAGUCGUUAAUAUAAAUGAUAUGAACGAUGGAGCUGGUCCAUAGGGGCAGGUGGGGAGGUUUUUUGUUGCCAAAUCUAUAAGGACUAUUGAUAAGUGUGUGUCUGGAAAAAUAAAACAUGUGUCUGUCAUGAUUAUAUCUGCAGUGUCUACGCUCCUCUUUAAUGAUGAUUGGAGAUGCAGCUGGUUCUGAACAAGGCAUGGCAUCAAGCCAGGUAGGGGCAGAGCACCACUAUCUUUAAACUUCACUAGCCGCCAUUAGGUAUGAAAUCUACGAAUAUGAUGCAUGUCUGUUUGUUGCCCAGUGCUAUGUUACAGGAGUUAUAACUUGGGUGUUCACUAAACUGGAAAUUGUGGUAAAUUGAAAAUUAGAUUCAUAUUAAAACAGACAAGCCAUAGCCUUUGGCCAAAAUGUUGCCUUUAACAUUAGAAGAACAGAUUAUAGUUCUCUUUGUAAGCUAGUUUACUUAAAUAUAUGAAUGGAUUUCUGGCCCUUGAGAAGAUAUGAGAACACUAUUCUCAAACUGUGGGUAACACUAUUUUCAUUUCAUUUUCUUCUUUCUCUCUGUCCCCUCUUUUCAUUUUUGUUUUUAUUUUGCAAUAAUAAAAAGUUAUUUUUGUUUUGCUUAGCAGAUUAUAAGAUCUCCCUUUCAAUAUUAUACUAGAUAAAGCAGUACAUUCAGCUAGGUCUCAAAAAAAAAUUGUGGUUAUUAAGGUAUUAGAUAAUGCUUAUUAAAAUCAGCAUAUCCACACAUUACUAAUUAUUAUUAAAGGGACAAUCCAAGCACCAUUACCAUUAAAAACUGUAGUGGUUACUUUAAUAAGUAACUGAUUAACUGUGCACAAACAUUUCUCUAAAAUAGUGUUUAGCAAGCAUUGAGUAAUAUAUUUCUGAUUUCAGUAUUAUCCAUUUAGUUUUUUUUGCAGAGGCUACACAUAGAACAAAGAAUUAAAUAUGCAGGUUUAUACUCUAAAGCAGUUGUUCCCAAACUUUUUAGGUUCAAGGCGCCAUUAAUAUUUCAAUAUCUUUCCAAGGGGCCCCAAGUCAAAACAUUUUCUAGGUUGUAUAUAUGUACAGUGCUGCAGCAUAUACUGUGCCCCUGUUCGGCAGAAAUGCUUGCUGUUCAGGUGCAGAUCCAGAACCUUGGGAGGAGCACUGGUUGAUUAUUCAAAGAAACAAUCCAGGCACAAUAACCACUACAGCACUCUGUAGUGGUUAUGGUGCCAGGAGUGCUGUGGUGCCCUCCCAGGGUAAGUAAUCAAACUGUUUAAGAACAGUUUGACAAUUACCUGGGAUCUGCCGGGAUAGGGGCUGUAGUAGGGAAUUGGGGCAGUAGUGUGUGUGCGUGUGUAUGAGGGGUGAAGUGUGUGUAUGAGGGGUGUAGUGUGUGUGAAGGGUACAGUGUGUGUGUGGGGGGGGUUGCACUGUGUCUGCGUGUGAGGGGUGCAGUGUGUGUGAAGGACGUAGUGUGUGGGUGUGUGCGUGAGGGGUGCAGUUUGUGCGUGAGGGGUACAGUGUGUGUAUUUGGGGGGGCAGUGUGUGUGUUGGGUUCAGUGUGUGGGGGCAGUGUUUGUGUGUGUGUAUAGGGGCAGUGUGUGUGUAUGUGGGACAGUUUGUGUGUGUGUAGGGGGCAGUCUGUGAGUGGGGGGGGCAGUGCGUGUGUGUAUGUGUAUGGUGGAGUUAUUGUGGGUCUCUGGGGCUAGGAAGGGCUAUUAACCCCUUAAGGACUGGACUGUUUUUGCGAUGUUGUACAUUUGCGACCAGGCAUAUUUUUACACUUUUGUGGUGUGUGUGUUUGGCUGUAAUUUUCCGCUUUCUCAUUUACUGUUCCCAUACAAAUUAUAUAUUGUUUUUUUCAGGACAAAAUGGGCUUUCUUUACAUACCAUUAUUUAUAUAAUCUCAUGUAUUUUAAUUUAAAAAAAAUAAAAAAAUAUGAUGAAAAAUUGAAAAAAAUACAUGUUUUUUGACUUUUACUUGAAAAAUCUUUUACUCAUCUACAAAAGCGAAUGAAAAAAACUGCUAAAUAGAUAAAAAAUUUUGUCCUGAGUUUAAAAAUACCUAGUGAGGGGUGUAGUUUGUGCGUGAGGGGUACAGUGUGUGUAUUUGGGGGGGCAGUGUGUGUGUUGGGUUCAGUGUGUGGGGGCAGUGUUUGUGUGUGUGUAUAGGGGCUGUUUGUGUGUGUGUGUGGGGGGGGCGCAGUGUGUGUGUAUAGGGGCAGUGUGUGUGUAUGUGGGACAGUUUGUGUGUGUGUAGGGGGCAGUCUGUGAGUGGGGGGGCAGUGCGUGUGUGUAUGUGUAUGGUGGAGUUAUUGUGGGUCUCUGGGGCUAGGAAGGGCUAUUAACCCCUUAAGGACUGGACUGUUUUUGCGAUGUUGUACAUUUGCGACCAGGCAUAUUUUUACACUUUUGUGGUGUGUGUGUUUGGCUGUAAUUUUCUGCUUUUCCAUUUACUGUUCCCAUACAAAUUAUAUAUUGUUUUUUUCAGGACAAAAUGGGCUUUCUUUACAUACCAUUAUUUAUAUAAUCUCAUGUAUUUUAAUUUAAAAAAAAUAAAAAAAUAUGAUGAAAAAUUGAAAAAAAAUACAUGUUUUUGACUUUUACUUGAAAAAUCUUUUACUCAUCUACAAAAGCGAAUGAAAAAAACUGCUAAAUAGAUUCAAAAUUUUGUCCUGAGUUUAAAAAUACCUAGUGUUUACGUGCUUUUUUGCUUUUUUUUGCAUGUUAUAGGGCUAUAGGUACAAGUAAGAUAUUGCGGUUUCAAAACAUACAUUUUUAAAAUUUAUCAAUAGUGACAUUGUAACACUAUUAUCUGUCAUAAAUCUCUGAAUAACACCCCACAUGUACAUAUUUUUUUUAAAGUAGACAACCCAGGGUAUUCAAUAUGGGGUAUGUCCAGUCUUUUUUAGUAGCCACUUAGUCGAAAACACUGGCCAAAGUAAGCAUUCAUAUUUGUUUGUGUGUGAAAAAAGUAAAAACUAAAUUGAACGCUAAUUUUGGCCAGUGUUUGUGACUAAGUGGCUACUAAAAAAGACUGGACAUACCCCAUUUGCAAUACCUUGGGUUGUCUUCUUUUGCAAAUGGUAUGCCAUCAUGGGGGUAAUUCUCAUUCCUGGGCUACCAUACGCUCUCAAAGGCAACGUAACCAACCUGGCCAUUUUCAAUGUAAAAAUAUUUGACCCAUAUAUUUGACCUUGUAACUUUCAAAAAUGCUAUAAAACCUGUACAUGGGGGGUACUGUUUUACUCGGGAGACAUCGCUGAACACAAAUAUUAGUGUUUAAAAACUGGAAAACGUAUCACAACAAUUAUAUCAUCAGUAAAAGUGCUGUUUGUGUGUGAAAAAUGCAAAAAAAGUCACUUUCACUGACAAUAUCAUCGCUGUGAUAUGUUUUACUGUUUUGAAUCACUAAUAUUUGUGUUCAGCGAAGUCUCCCGAGUAAAACAGUACCCCCCAUGUACAGGUUUUAGGGUGUCGUAGAACGUUACAGGGUAAAAUACAGUGCUAGCAAAUUAAAUUCUCUGGAAUUUCGGCCUGGGUUGGCAGGCAGGUCCCUCAAAUUGCAAUCAAUAAAAUUACUGAAUUAUGUAAAAAUAUUACAUAAAUACGCACGUAGAAUUUAAAUAUAUAUGCAUAUUUAUAUAGUUUAAGUCUACGUGUAUAUUUAUAUAAUUAUUUAUGUAAUUUUGUAUAUGGACAUAUGUAUAUUUCUUAUUAUUUUUAUUUAUUUAUAUAUACAUAGAUAUAUAUACAAAUUCAUUCUAAGUGUAUUUUGAUAUAAAUAUAUAUAUAUAUUAAUUUUAAAAUACAGUUAGAAUAAAAUUUCAUAUAGAUAUAUAAUUUUUUUUAAAUUUUUAUUAUUAUUUUAAAAAAUUAUUUAAUUUAAAUUACUUAUUAUUUAUAUUUUAUAAUAAUAUAUAUAUACAAUAUAUAUAGUUAUUAUAUAUAUUAUAUAUAUACAUGUGUAAUUUAAUUAUAAAUGUAUUUUUAUAUUAAUAUAAGUACAUAUUAAUAUAAAAAUACACUUAGUAUGGCAUUAUAUAUAUGAUAUAUAGACAUAUAUUAUAUAGAUAUAAUAUAUGUCUAUAUAUCAUAUAUACACAUAUAUAAUUGUUAUUAUUUUUUUAAUUAACACUAACUUUAUUUUAUUUUUUGAUUUUACACAGUCAGCACAGACAGUCCCCUUGCAGGCAGACACAUGGACACCUAUUGUGACCAUGUGAUCACUGUGUUAAGCGAUCACAUGGCCACAGUGGUCCUAAUUCAGUGUGGGGAGACUGUCUGGGCUGCAGGCAGUCUCCCCACAACCGGAGCCACGCUGAUCGCCGCCGGGGGAACGACAGCGAUCAGGUAAGUAGCUCAGACCGUUAGGACGGUUCAGGACCGUCAUCGGUCGGCAAGCCAAAAAUGCCUCGGUCGGGAAAGGGGUUAAUAAAUAUAAAUGUGUUUUGGUUUUUUUUUAAAUUAAAAUAAAUAAAUAAUUUUCAUAUUCCCCCUUCCUGCUUACCUUUGCCUGGGAGGGGGGCAGUACUAAUCCCUGGUGUUUCAGUGGCGAAGCCCUGGUGGUCCUAGUGGUGAGAGUGAACUCUAGCUUGCAGCUCAUGCUAUAGUUCACUCUUGCGAGAUUCAGAGCGUUGCCAUGGUAACCGCGGCAAUGCUCAGAGCUCGUGAGAGGAGAACCUGGCAAAGCUGCAGGCUAGAGCUCCCCCAACGGCUGCCAGCAUUACAGUGCAAGCGGGCCGGCAGGGAAGAGUGAGGCAAGGUUCCCGGUGAUAUGAUUAUAUGAUCAUAUUACCAGGGAAACAUUUUGCUGCGCCCCUGUGUGCCCGGCACACAGUUUGGGAACCAUUGCUAUAAAGGGUGAACUCUUGUGAAUUCAAAGUGAAUUUCAAUCUGCCGAGCUAGAAAGAUUCACCUAAUAAAUUAUGUUUUCAGAUUGGCUAUUUUUACCUAAAAUUUGAAAUUCACUUUGAAUUUCCAUCAAUUUAUACUUUAGCGAAUAAUAGUGUAAGUGUACUAAAUUCUCCCACUGAGCGUCUUGCGCUAAAUAUCUUUCUAGUGCUAGCUCUCAUUGGAAUUUUGUUUAAAAAUCAAAGAUCAUGCCCUUGCAGUGGUCCCCCCAUGUAACCCUCAGAUACAUAUAUAAAGCAGCUAACAAGCUGAAUGAACUCCUUAGCAUUAUGUCUAGAACCCUUGAACUAGUAUUUACAAUAAAUGAGAAGUCAUGAUAAAUGGAUAGCAGGGAUGGGCAGCCAUCGAAAGUGAAUUGAUUUAUGUUUGUUGCUACAAAGUUUGCGUCUGAAUAGUCUGAAUUCCCAGGUAGAUCAACACGCAAGAACUCGUGGAUCUUGCUCUGAACAGAGCCACAAGCCGGCUGCAGAAAAAUAAGGCUUCAGUAAAGACCCAGGCUUUCAGCAGCUAAAAAGACACAUCAAAGACUUAUUUGUUUAAAGAGGUUCCCUUUUCAUCUUUGCUGAAUGUUAUUAAAAAGUGGAAGAAUAAAAGACGUAUUAGAGCAUGCAGCUGACAAAUUAUGAAGGCUUUAUCUCAGCAGAUAAUGCACUCUCACUAGCUGUGAUUGUUCCAUAUCAGAGUUCCAUUUGCUUGUACAAUGUAGUCAGGUGCUUGCAUAAAUGCUCUCAGAUUAAAUUACAAGAUCCUCUUUGUCAAAUACAUUAUUGUCAAUAAUUACAAAGAAUUUGUUAUACAUUUAUACGAUCCAUUAUGUAGCACAUUCUAAGCAUGAUAUUAGCACGGGGUCAUCCAGAAAGCAGGGUGGAGACAUGAUAUGUACAUUAGUGAAAUGUACUCGCUAUCUCUUUAUUUUAGCCGCUCCUGUGAUUCUUGUCAGUGUUUACGCCUUUUUCCACAAUGAUUCAUUACUGAUUGUUCAUUUGUGAUGUGUGCUCGUAUCCUCGUUUUUAUUAAGUAUCUGCCAGGGUAAUCAGUGCAUCACUAAGUACACAUUGAAGCUAUGAACACAUUACUGGUUUAGCGAUUGUCCAAAAUAUUUGUUUGUUCCUUGUUAUUAUAAUUUGUGGAGGGGUUUUAUAACUCAGAUAAUUGGGCAUUGGUUGUAUUGCCUCCUUGAUUGGCCUUUCAUUCUGAUCAGCAGCAAAACAGAAACCCAUUUUGAUGACAGAUAAAAGCCAGUUCAUUCAUCCAAUCUGUAUAGCCUUUAGUUCUGGUUUAUUUUUCAUUUUAGGACAGCGGUGUGUUAUACCCAAGCUUUUUUAAACUUUUCCACUUUAAUCUGCUUUUAUUAAAUGGCUAUUCCAACCCUUAAAAAAUAUUUUGUGAAAGAAAAUAAAUAAUACCCUAUUGGGCAUUGUUCUUUAUGUCCUUCCUGAUCUCCAAUUAAAUUUGCUUAAACUAAGUUUUACUUACCUGGAAUCCAGAUCUCGGCACAGUUCUCUAAGCCCCCUCCUGUUAAGGCAGCCAACGCAAGUACAACCAAAAGCUUCUCAUUGACAAGAGACAUAACAGUACAUAAAAACACAAAGGUGGAGAAUGUCUUGAGUCCUUAGUGAAUCGAUAAAUAAUGAACCCACAGACGUCAGCGUUCAAUGCGACCACAUGGCUCACUUUCUCUGUCUCCCAUUAUCCAUAGACACUAUGCAUUUUUUUGAUACUGACUUUUUGGAGCUUGCCCUGCUGAAGAUUUUGCAUUACUGAGAGCAGCAUCAUUAAUCUGUUGUUCCUGAUCUUUGUAAUCCUAACCUCGGCUUGUCUCUCGUUAUUGUGCCCUUCUGUUAUCCCUUGAUGUAUCCCUAGUAUUCUCACUUAGUCUCAGACUACUUGCAGACUGUUUCACCUGUCUAGACAUUGUGUUAAGCACAGCCAGUCGAAGAACUGGUAUACGCUACUAUCCUUAUCCUCUACUCUAGCUUCAUCUAGGUUUGCAUGAUAUGGUUAGGCUAGCCUUGACACAUUGUUAGCACACCAUCAAAAAAACAAAAAGAAGUUUAAAAAAUAUUCUAAAUCUUGGUUUACUUGUCCGCCAUGUAUAUAAAAUUUACCAGCUCUCUGCAAAUUGUGUUCUGAAGCAGCUGCAGACGUCUAGUCUACAUUGUAAAUAAUAAGACUAGUUACAGCCCAUUGUAGUAAUGUAGCAUCAGUAAAUCUGCUAAAUUGUGCAUUGUCUUCCAUGGCAUUUGCUGUGACCAGUUAUGUUAGAAAGAGUAUAUUAAAAAAACUAAUAUCACUCAUGGAUCCCCAGCAUUUCCUUUCAAGGAACGCUUCAAGAGCCAUAACAACUUUGACAGAAUUUAGUUGUUAUGGUGUCAGAAGGUCCCUCGCACCUGCUCAUCAGGGAUUAAACUGUUAACCCCUAAAGUUUUAAUUCAGAACCGUUUAGCUCUGGCCAGCUCCUUCUCCUCCUGUUUGAGGCUUGAAUCGGGGCAUGAGAAAGUAAACAGAUGCUCUAUCAGCGGCACCCCUUUCCUAAACUUCCUGAUUCAAGCCUCAAACAAAAGCAGAAGGGUAAAGCUAAACUGCUCUGGAUUCAACACUUUGGGGUUAAACUGUUCCUCAAUGGUUUGUACACUAAAGAUACAGUGCCAGGGACUUCCAGGGAUUCCCUGAUACCAUAACAGGGAGAUAGCUCAGUGGGCUAAUGCAUCAUCAAUAGAAUCUGGUAAACCCUUGGGUCACAGGUUCAGAAUCCUGGCAGAGUUCACUCAUCCCUUAAUCCUUCUGAGGUAGAUAAAAUGAGUACAAUUAAAUUGGGUAAUAGUAACAACCCCUGGAUGCUAAGGUAACAUACUUGAAAACUAGAGUAAUCUGAACCAAUUAAAAUUGGUUAAUAUUAUUAUAACAAUGUCAUUCAAAUGAAGUUGUUAUGGUGCUAGGAAUGUUCCUUCACGAAUUUUAGCUACUUACCUUGUCCUCCUCUCCAUGUCCAGAACGCACAUGCUGCUGUUACUGCCGUUGAUGAUAGAACUGAAACAGAUAGAAAUAUAUAUAUAUAUUAAGAACAGAUAAGAAAAAUAUCAUAUAUCACUGCUUAUUCUCAUUCUCUUUGAAGUUGCAUAGACUGGAAUGGAAGUUAUAUAGACUGAAAAGAGACUUGUGUCUAGCAAUUUCAGUUUAUCUCACAACUGUUUUUGCUGUUGAUACAAAAAAAAACCAAUUUGAAGUGCUUUCCAAUUUUGCAACAAACUAGGCACAAAUUCCUUUUGGACCCUAGAAUGGCAGUCAGAUAUCGCCUUGGAUCAAGAAGCAUAUAUUAACAUUUCGACUCCUGAAUAUUAUGUUUUUGCAAGAAUUAAACCAGUUUCUUAUUAAACAUCUGUAUAGACUCUGGUGAAACCACCUCUUCAGGCAGCGAAUUUCACAUCCUUAUUGUAGAAAAACAGUAAAUAAUCCAGAAAAAAGCACCAUUUUCUUAUCAUCAUUGUCACAUUCUUAGUCAUCAUUACUAUUAUCAGCACAAUAACAGAAAUAUUUUCUCCUUCUACAACAAGAAAACAGGCCAGACUGCAAUCUAAAAUGUGGGUUUGGGGAACCCCAUGCUCCCACUUUAGCUUGUCCCUGAUAAAGCUUUAGAUGUCGCUGUAGGUGGCACCUCAUGUGUGUUGAACACCUGCGUAGUAAAUGUUGACAGUGGAUGUAACGUAAUAACUACAGUGAAGUUCAGUAAAACGGAUUUACAGACACAUUUAAUUUUAUGUGCAUGUAAUCCAUUUUCAUGCAUUGCAUUUGUAACUAAAACGCUCCUUGUUUAUGGGUGGGGGAGGAAUUCAGACAUAUGUAGUGCAGUGGGAAUGACCAUCCUGUAGCAGACUGUCCAUGUGUGGUCUGUGAAUUUGUAAUUCUCUCUAUCCCAUCUCGUGCUUUCAUUUGAGUCCGACAAAAUUCCAAACUUAUUCUAACACUCAGAUCAUAUCCAACAAGGUAUCAGAGACAUGGAAAACAAUAUUUUACUAACAAAUGAGUUAAAUUGUCAUUGUCAACUAAUGGUUGUGUUUUCCCAUCACUCCUAUAACCAUGUGUAAAGUUGCUUAACCUGUGAGUUUGGGUACAUUUGGCAAAAGGAGUUGGUCUUCUUUCUGGCAUAAUGUGCUUGGACUUUGCACAGUUGAUGCCAGGAGACUGGACCUUUAUGUGGCAUAAUUCAUAUUAAGGAAGUAGACACUGAGUUUCUCCUGAUACAUUGAUCCUCUUUUUUAAGCUGAUAAAAAAGCCUAUAACUUUACAAACGUACGACAACAAACGCAAUUGCAAUAUCAACUAAAUACUCAUGCAACUUUUUAGAUUAUUCCUAGGAUGGUUAUUAAGAUGAUUUGUAAUUUUGUGCAAUGUAUGGGGAGAGAUAAUUGUUCAGCUGUUUUAGCAAAUUGUCUGUCUUUUCCACUUACCCCCUUCCUUAACUUAAUCGUAUUUUCAUUCAGCACCUUAUUUAUUAUAAAUCUGAUGACUAUCAAUAAUAUAUGUUCAGCUCAACUCAGGUUUAUCUUCUUAACUCUGCUAAUGCCUUCCAUUUCACAUCUUGAUUUUGACAUUAAUAAUGUGUCUUCUAAACUGAAUGCAUUAGUAUUGUGUUUUAUUUAUCAUAUUAUAUAUCACUAGCACCAUGUAUAAUAGGAGGUCUAGAUACAUUUAGUGCAAGAGGCAUUGGACUUUGUCCUGGUACAAUGUUAGCUUUGGGAUGGGAACACCAAGUGUCAUGAUAGGGGAAUUGGGCUUACUAUACUUACAACGAUGGUAUCUCCAUUCUUUAUCUGAAUUUAAUUUGCAAAAAAGCAUAUUUGUGUACCACUGCCAAAUAGUUAUUGUACUGCACAAACAGCUUUAGAAAUACUUAGAGAUAUAUUAAGUACAGAACAGUAUGUAUGUAAGUACAGUACAGUUUGUUGGUAAUGCUAAAGUCAAUGGACUUCAUUACUUAGCCAUAUAGCUUUCACUUUCCCUUUCCAAAGGCAGAAAAAAACUGGCUUAAAUGUGUAACGCAGCCAUUGACCUUCUGUUUGCAUGAAUUAUUGUCAACUGGAAGUUCCAAAUAGUUACCAAUUAUUUAUGGAUACUUAUUUAGGUCUUUCAUAAAAUGCUUCUCCAAAUGUUUUCUUCAGACCUAAAAUUUUUUGAAGUUUAUUAAAGGACCACUCUAGGCACCCAGACCACUUCAGCUUAAUGAAGUGGUCUGGGUGCCAGGUCCUUCUAGGGUUAACCCAUUUUUUCAUAAUUAUAGCAGUUUCAGAGAAACUGCUAUAAUUAUGAAUGGGUUAAGCCUUCCCCCUAAUCCUCUAGUGGCUGUCUCAUUGACAGCCACUAGAGGCGCUUGCGUGCUUCUCACUGUGAUUUUCACAGUGAGAGCACGCCAGCGUCCAUAGGAAAGCAUUGUAAAUGCUUUCCUAUGAGACCGGCUGAAUGCGCGCGCAGCUCUUGCCGCGCGUGCGCAUUCAGCCGGCGGGGCGUAACGGAGGAGGAGAGAAGGAGGAGAGCUCUCCGCCCAGCACUGGAAAAAGGUAAGUUUUUACCCCUUUCCCCUUCCAGAGCCGGGCGGGAGGGGGUCCCUGAGGGUGGGGGCACCCUCAGGGCACUAUAGUGCCAGGAAAACGAGUAUGUUUUCCUGGCACUAUAGUGGUCCUUUAACAAAGGAAUUUUGGAUAAUUGACAAAGGAGUUGUACUUUUUCAGCCAAUAGCAAAUGCAGAGACAUUUUCUGUUAGCUAUUUUUCCAUCUCAACUACUUUGGACUAACCUACCGAUCCCCUUGUCAAUACCCCAAACUCUCUAGUUUAGUGAAUAAAUCCCUUUAAAAUAUGUGUAUUCCCAUUUUACCUAAUACUCAUUAAAUAUUCUGGGGCUUAUUCAUAGAGUAUAAUGCCUCUAUAAUAGUAAAUACAAUUUCUUUUGUUUUGUAUUUUUUGCAUACUUGAUUAGGGAGCUUUUCAAAGGAACCUUAUGGCGGCAGCAAGGAUAUUUGGGAGUUGUAGUUCAAUUGUCAACUUUCUGUCAUGAUAUCAUGUAAAACAGAACAUUUAGAGCAGGGGUGCCCAAAAUGUGGUUUCCCAGAUGUUGUGGAACUUAAACUACCAUGAUACUUUGCAUGCCUGUAGAAUGACAAAGCAUCUCGGAAGCGCUAGUUUUAAAACACCUUGGAACCCCUGAUUUAGAGCAAAGAAGGAGAAAGGAUACAGUGCAAACUGGACACGAAAAACCACAAAGAGUGAACUGAUAGAAUAAAAUUAGUAUUAAAAAAGAAGGCUGAAAAAAAAGAAACAUCCAGAUCAACUAACUUUAACCUAACCUACACCUUGCAUCAAAUAUAUUAGUACCUGCAGCCCCUGUUCGAAGGUAAAAAGCCUUCUGAAAUAUUACUAUGGUAAAAACAUAACAUGUAUGCAAUAGUCAUAUAUCAGUAAAGACAAAUGACAUAAGUUAAAUUAAACGUAACUCAAUGCCUAAACGCUCAUUAUGUACAGCUCCCACAAAGGAUACUAUUUGUGACUUUGUUAAACCAUGUCCACAAUGAUAAUCAAAAAUAAUAAAUCCACAAUCACCGUUCCUAAUAGGUGUAACAGAAGGGUGAAAUCUCAUGGUUUUCAAAUGCUGAAUCUUCAAUCAGUUGUUUGGGGAACAGGAAGCUAGUGACACGCUCCCAAUUUCACCCUUCUCUGAAACAAGGAACUAGGUGAUAAAGAUGGCAUAUAUGACCAUGAAUGUUCAUAUUCAACGUGUCUGUGACUUAUGUCCACUUGAAAAGCAGUAAAGUAGCACAAUAAAAUUUGGUAACAUAAUACUUGUUUGUCGAAUCCUUCUAUUCCCUCUAUUAACUGCUCCCUGUAUAACAUCCUGUAGAAAUGGCUCAAUCAAUAGGCCAUUUCAUGACCAUAUCUCACACUGCUCUAAACAACCUUCAUUGCCACGAAAGGUCUCAACUCUGAAGAAGCAUUUUUGAACAGGCAGGACUUGUCAUCCUGGCUGAUUUUUUUUUUAGACCAAAAGGAACUCAUAAAUACCUUUUAUGAGACAAAUUACUCAACAUUUCCAGUUCUAAGUCCAUCUGUUCACAACGCACCCAGGGAAUCAUGGCAAUAAGAUAAUUAUGCCUCGAGGGACUCUUCUUAUAUCGUAAAAUUUAUACUUUUCCUCCAAGUUUCUAGAGGGCAUAAAUACACUCAUUGUGCACUAUUUCAUCUGCAAUAUUACCAGAGCUUGCAGGACAACUGUAGGAAAUCAGAUUUCUUUCUCACUCAAAACCAUCCCAAGCUACAAGAUUUCUUAAUCAUACUGAGUGAUAUUUUCACACCUACUAACACAAAGGUGUUAGCUAUGAUCAUUCGAGCUGAUGGUAAGGUUAAUUUACAGGAAUACAGCUUAACAUUAAUAUACUAGGUAGGAAUAAAUUUAGUAUCUGCAGAGAGAGAUAAAUCGCACACUUCUAAAAAAAAUCUCUAUGCAGAAAGUACCGAUAACUCAGGUAUUGGUAUCACGGCAUUUGGAAUUCUUUUUACCAAAAUAAAAAAUGGUGAAGUAUCAGUUCUACAACUACCUACCUCUACGGGUUAACAUGCAGCAAAUUGCUACACAAAACGUAAAUACCAGUGCAAAAUCAGUUCUUCUAGAUUUUGUGUCUUUUUAGCAUUUGUUACGACUGUGGCAAAAACCUCUGCACAUUCAGAACACUCUUCUUGUCAUGUAAAUCUUAAUUUGUACAAUUAAAUUGCUGAGACAUCACAUCCAUCAGGUUAAUAAGGUCUCUGUUUAAUUUGCUGCGAAUUAAAACAAAAUGCCUAAUCAGUUCUACAUUUUGCUUUGACAAGUGCAUCCAUAAUCAUGGUGUUAUUGGAUAUGCAUGGUCAGAAAAUGUAAUUGUUAGUUGGACUGUAACAUUUAAACUGUCCUCAUGAAGGGCACGGUUCAGAGGAGCUGAAAAAUAUUACUACAUUUAUAAAGAAACUGUGAAUAUCUUAAUGAGUAGGAUUAUAAACGUGAAGUGCACCAUGUAUUGGAGAAGCUAAUUUGGGGUUUUAAAAUGUAAAAGUGCAGAUUAAUUAAGGUAAAAGUUUAGCAUUAAAGAGUUAAAGAGAACCUGCCAUGACCAAAACAACAUUUACUCUUUAUAAAGGGCAUCUGAUUUAUUCUAUACAUUGUGCUUGUUGUUCUGUUAGCAAAUGUACAGACAGGGAGAAACAUUUUUUUUUUUAAAUAGUUUUUUUUUUGGUCUCCCAGCUGUCAAUCAAUUCUUCAGCAAAGUCUCUAGUGAAAUCUCUAUUGAUUGACAGGUAGAACAGAAAAGACCUCCUACAGGUGGUCCUCCUGCUCUCCAUCCAUAACAAACAGUGCCAGCUGCUGAAACUCCCUAGCCAAUGCUGCUAGCCCUGGCUAGGGAGUAUAGGAGCAGGGUAACUGACAUUACACCGUUCAGACGUUCAAUAAAGCCAAGGUGCUGGAGUCAUGGAGGAGGUUUUCCCUGCUUGAUGAAGUGUUCCAGACAGAGCAAAUCAAUGAAGGGAGUAGGAGGAGAACCUACGGUGGGUGUUACAGAAGUGUUCAGAUGGUAAGGUAAAAAUUUUGCACAUCCCUUCCUGGUUUCUUUUGGGGAUAUUACCCACUGGAUGAUAUGGAAUCUUCUCAAAAUGAUUCCACAAACCUGAGCAUGACUUCAGAUUACCCCUGGUCCCUGCACAAAUCCCUUCAUUCUGUUAAUAAUAUUUUGGGUUGUUGUCAAGCAAAAGGUGUGCAACCUGAAUUUGAAAAUCUGCAGGAACGUCAUUAUGCUAGUAAGAAACCCAGGACGAAAAUAAAAAUAAGUACCUCAUAGCUUGGCCAUAGGAAGUGUAUAAAUAUACCAUGGGCACUUACAGGGAGUGCAGAAUUAUUAGGCAAAUGAGUAUUUUGACCACAUCAUCCUCUUUAUGCAUGUUGUCUUACUCCAAGCUGUAUAGGCUCGAAAGCCUACUACCAAUUAAGCAUAUUAGGUGAUGUGCAUCUCUGUAAUGAGAAGGGGUGUGGUCUAAUGACAUCAACACCCUAUAUCAGGUGUGCAUAAUUAUUAGGCAACUUCCUUUCCUUUGGCAAAAUGGGUCAAAAGAAGGACUUGACAGGCUCAGAAAAGUCAAAAAUAGUGAGAUAUCUUGCAGAGGGAUGCAGCACUCUUAAAAUUGCAAAGCUUCUGAAGCGUGAUCAUCGAACAAUCAAGCGUUUCAUUCAAAAUAGUCAACAGGGUCGCAAGAAGCGUGUGGAAAAACCAAGGCGCAAAAUAACUGCCCAUGAACUGAGAAAAGUCAAGCGUGCAGCUGCCACGAUGCCACUUGCCACCAGUUUGGCCAUAUUUCAGAGCUGCAACAUCACUGGAGUGCCCAAAAGCACAAGGUGUGCAAUACUCAGAGACAUGGCCAAGGUAAGAAAGGCUGAAAGACGACCACCACUGAACAAGACACACAAGCUGAAACGUCAAGACUGGGCCAAGAAAUAUCUCAAGACUGAUUUUUCUAAGGUUUUAUGGACUGAUGAAAUGAGAGUGAGUCUUGAUGGGCCAGAUGGAUGGGCCCGUGGCUGGAUUGGUAAAGGGCAGAGAGCUCCAGUCCGACUCAGACGCCAGCAAGGUGGAGGUGGAGUACUGGUUUGGGCUGGUAUCAUCAAAGAUGAGCUUGUGGGGCCUUUUCGGGUUGAGGAUGGAGUCAAGCUCAACUCCCAGUCCUACUGCCAGUUCCUGGAAGACACCUUCUUCAAGCAGUGGUACAGGAAGAAGUCUGCAUCCUUCAAGAAAAACAUGAUUUUCAUGCAGGACAAUGCUCCAUCACACGCGUCCAAGUACUCCACAGCGUGGCUGGCAAGAAAGGGUAUAAAAGAAGAAAAUCUAAUGACAUGGCCUCCUUGUUCACCUGAUCUGAACCCCAUUGAGAACCUGUGGUCCAUCAUCAAAUGUGAGAUUUACAAGGAGGGAAAACAGUACACCUCUCUGAACAGUGUCUGGGAGGCUGUGGUUGCUGCUGCACGCAAUGUUGAUGGUGAACAGAUCAAAACACUGACAGAAUCCAUGGAUGGCAGGCUUUUGAGUGUCCUUGGAAAGAAAGGUGGCUAUAUUGGUCACUGAUUUGUUUUUGUUUUGUUUUUGAAUGUCAGAAAUGUAUAUUUGUGAAUGGUGAGAUGUUAUAUUGGUUUCACUGUUAAUAAGAAAUAAUUGAAAUGGGUAUAUAUUUGUUUUUUGUUAAGUUGCCUAAUAAUUAUGCACAGUAAUAGUCACCUGCACACACAGAUAUCCCCCUAACAUAGCUAAAACUAAAAACAAACUAAAAACUACUUCCAAAAAUAUUCAGCUUUGAUAUUAAUGAGUUUUUUGGGUUCAUUGAGAACAUGGUUGUUGUUCAAUAAUAAAAUGAAUCCUCAAAAAUACAACUUGCCUAAUAAUUCUGCACUCCCUGUAUUAGUGGUGAUUAUAAGCGGUUGGUGAGGUUUUGUGGUUUUCUGAAUUCAAUUACAACUGGAAGUAAAACUAUUUGAUAGACUACUGGAGUCUAAAAUUACCGUCCCUAUAAAAUAUAUUAUAAUACAAUAAGGAGUAGCCAACUACAGGGCAAACUGGCAAGCGUAUGCAUUACAGUGCCAGAGUCCUCGUUUUAUGUUUAAUAUAACUGGGUUUAAGCUCAUUUGACAGAUUUAUGCCUCCCUUUACAUUGUGAGCAUUAUAUAUAAUGCAUAUCUGUAUUAUAUAAAAACAAAAAGUUUGAAAAUGAAUAAGUUACCUGACCUAAGUUCAUCAGCUUCUUGUACUCUACCAAAUCUCUACAAUAAAUAAAUAAAAAGAAAACAUAAUAAUGAUCAAUACAGGUUUAUGACAAUGUGUAGAUUUGUCACUGAACAACCUUCUCUUCUUCUGCCUUGAGGUACAAUGAGGUGAAAAGGUUUGUUAUCAUUAGGUUUAACUUAUUAAUUAUACUAGUAAAGUAUAGGAUGUGGUAAACUCCUUAAAGAGUUACUCCAAGCAUCAUACCUACUACAGCCCUUUGUAAUGGUUAUGAUGCCAGGAGUACCCUGGAGCUGUUCCCCGGUAAUAGUGCAAACCAUUUAGUAACUGUCCGCCCUCUUACCUGCGUCCCCACCAUGCACCUCCGAUCUUUAAAUUUAAACGUAAACAAUCUGAUCUUAAAAGGACAAGUGUCACCUCAAAACUAUUUUUUUAAAUAUAUAUAAUAAUCCUUUUAUCGUAGUUUUAAAGGAAAUAUAUUUGAAAAGAAAUGAAAUAUAUGUAAAAAAAAAAAAAAUGAGAACAACUCAUCCCUACCUUUAGUAUAUGGCAGGAUCCUUCAGCCAUAUACAUGGACCUUGGGUCAGACUGUGUUUGAGAGCCACAAUAUUCCCUGCAUGGAAGACCAUAGAGACUAACAUUCGGUUUUCGAAUACUGUCUGACCCAAGGUCCAUGUAUAUGGCUGAAGGCUCCUGUCAUAUGCUAAAGGUAGGGAUACGUUUUUCUUUUCACAUAUACUUAAUUUAAUUACAGGUCAAUUUCCUUUCAAAUAGAGAACUUAAUGAAAGGAUUAUUAUAUUAAAAUAGUAUUGGUGACAACUGUCUUUAGCCUUGCACAUCCUCCUCAACUCCUGGCUCUUCAGUUGCCAGAAGCCGCGUCAGUGCUGUACCCUCACGCAUGCAUGAGAGUACGACACUGAGAUCUAUGGAGGAUCCUGCAAGACGACUGGAGCCUUCAUUGACGAUAGAGCUCUGUCUUUUGUUGACCCCAAGCUUGUCCAUAAAACAAAGUAGCUCCUACAUUGUUUUAUGGCAUCUUUGGAUUGUGCUGGAAUUUAAGUAAAAUUCUAAUGCAAUCUUGAUCAGUAUUUCAUAAGGAAUAUAUCGCUAUAAAAUAUUUAAAAGUGACACUGACUUUAAAUUUUGACUUACUCAUGGGGCAAAAAACAGGUCGCAAGAAUAUUCUGAGAACGGAAAGCAACUGAAAUAGCCUGCCCUUUGGUGGAUCCCCGCUCAGAACUCAAGCUGGUUUUAGCUCAUCUUGUGCCAUUACAGAGAGAACAUAUCUGAAGCAUAUCAGACUGGUCCCACCCAUAAGGGCAGUCCAGAUCUGAAAUGCACGAGAGAUACAGCAACCCCAGACAAUCAUUUCAGCCUUGUUAGGCAUCAUCAGUGAGGCAUAGCUGAUAUCUCUCUAGGCACCGUGAGCAAGGGAUCCACGUGUGGAUUACCCUUUAAACUUAUGGAGAGCAAAAAAUGGGUCACAAGAGUAUUCUGAGAAUGGACAGCAACUGAAAUAGCCUGCCCUUCGGUGGAUACCCGCUCAGAACUCAAGCUGGUUUUAGCUCACCUUGUGCCAUUACAGAGAGAAGAUAUGUGAAGCAUAUCAGUUACUCAUGGGACAAUAAGCUGAUGUCUCGCAGUCUCUGGGCUGUAUGUUUAGUUAGGGUGCAGUGUUCCUGUGCUGCAGAGGAUGGUCCUGCAUCUAGUGUGCCAUUCUCAUCUACUCUGCUCUGACAGAAGUGAUUAUUUAGUGGAAGAAGAGGAGCCAGGCCUAGUGUACAUCCUUCCGCAGGAGGAUUCAGGUAGUGGUGCAUUUACAUUUUACCAUUCACAGUAAAAGUGAUAACACUACCUACAGCUCGCUGAGGACCCACAGUGUGCACCAUCAUCAAAAGCACUAUACAGAAUUUUGCGGUUCAGUUGGGAAAAGGGUGUCCUGUAAAGUGGGUGACUAUUUGAUUAUUAUAUUCUUAUUAUAACUGUUUUUUAUACUCUUAUACAUGUAGCAUUAGAUGUGUAUUGAGGUCAGUAACAAGCAGCAGCAUUUAUAGUAGUAGAUAGGCAUUCUGUUUUUAUUGUUAUAUCACUGCAUUUUAUCCACAUUUGUAUAUAUUUCCUAUAUAUUUCAGGAUUGUUGCCGGUCUAAUUAUUAUGUAUAGGUUGUGCAUUGUAUUGGUGCCGUGGGUUGCCUGAAAGUAUAAGAUCACUGAGUGGACUGUGCAUUACGGGAGUCAAGAAGUCCAUAAGGGUCCUGCUCCAGCGUAGACUCAGAUCAUUCCUACAAAGCUUGCAGCGUCAAGGGUGACUGCACCCCCUUCACUGAAGAUGGGUAAACUUACAAUGAUGGUGACGUGAUAACGCAGAAAUACUUUCUCUUUCAUUAGAGGACACUGUCUGAUGAUCAACUGUCUUGAUAUUAGCUCUCAUCUCGCAAUAUGUACUUAGCACAUUUGCAUGCUAAAGGCCAAGGAAUAGUGCUUUCUGGGAGCCAGCCCAUAGUAGGUAGGCUUCCUGUUUGUACUAAUUAUCAACGCUGCCCAUGCAACAAUUUAACACAAGAAGCAGCAAGUGGUGACAUGUCUUGGACACACUGCUUCCUACUACUGAAAAGAAUGAGAUAUUCGUGGUGUACCGGCUGAGAUAAUACAGUAAUAUUGCCGAAUGAUUGCUUUGUUCAAACAUUAAGCUUUGCAGAAUUCCGCAUUUAGUAUUUUGGAGGAAAAUUAUGUACAGAAUUGUGUACUUUACACUAAAAACUGAAACUGUAUUUUGUUGCCAGUUGGUUAGCACAUUGUAUAGACAAGGGGUAGACAACCUUUUCACAGCACUUUGCUAAAACGAGACUAGGAAGUCCUUUGGCAUGACGGACCUUUUUUUUAUUUAAUUAACUGGAGUGUAUUUUGCUGUAUGGUAUGCACAUUAUGUAUGGGUGCUGCAGCCACUUUGUAGGUUUGUAUUUGAUGUGGUGUGUGUAUUAACCUGUACAUGCAUGAGCAGUAUGUGUGUUUAUAUUUGUUUGUGAGAGCUGUGUAUCAUGCUAUGUUUGUGAAUGUAGGCUGUGCAUAGGGGGCUGCUUGUGGGUUAUAUGUUGUAUGGUGCAGUGGCGUAGCGUGGGUUGUCAGCACCCGGGGCAAGGCAAGUAAUUUGCGCCCCCUAACCCAUGGAUUUUAGCACUCGAGUCUCUUCCACUAGAUUAGUUAAAGAAACCCUUACCCCCCAAGCACAUGUAUUGUUUGUUAUGAAAAUACUUAUGUAAUUAAAGUAAAAUGCAUCUAAAUACAAGUUUAUUGGCACCAGGGCCGGUGCAAGGAUUCUUGCUGCCCUAGGCAAGAAUACAUUUUGACGCCACCUUAUGAAUGCAACUACAUUCCCUCAGAAGUUUAUUCACUAAACUCUGAAUUACACUAAAGAGACAUUUAGGGAAAGAGGCGCACUGAGUAGAUAUUAAAGGGAAACUAUAGUGCCAGGAAAACAAACUUGUUAUCCUGGCACUAUAGCUUCCCUCUCCGUCAAGCGCAUCCCCCCUCGUGGUGCAGCAGGGGUUAAAACACCUUCUGUCACUUACCUGGGUCCAGCACCAAUGUCUUUUGUGCUGGCUUGGGUCCGCCUUAGCUCCUCAAUGGCCUCGCUCGCAGUGAUAUUUCCGUGACUGGACGUCCCCAUGCAUAGCCACUAGAGGAGUUAACCCUGAAUGGUAAUUAUUGAAGUUUCUUAAAAAUUGCAAUAAUUACCUUUGCAGUGUCACUUACACAAUCUCACUAAUACACACACUCUCUCACUGGCAUACACACUUACAUAUUCUAACUCUAACUUACACACUAACACAUACACAUUCUCACUGACCUACACAUUGUCACUUGCACACUCUCACUAACAUACACAGUGUCACUUACACACUCUCACUAACACACACAGUGUCACCUACAUACUCUCACUUAUACACACACACUCUAACUUACACACUAUCACUGGCAUAGACAUUGUCAGUUACACACUCUAACACCACACAGUGUCACACAUGCUCACUAACAGUGUCACUUGCACACUCUCACUAACUGUCACUUGCACUCUCUCCCUAACACAUACUCACUAACAGUGUCACUUGUACACUUUCCUUUAAACACAUACUCACUAACAUUGUCACUUGCACACUCUCCCUAACACACACACCCAGAGUCACUUGCACAUUCUCACUAACACACACACACACACACACACACACAGAGAGUCACUUGCACACUCUCCCUAACACACACACUGUCACUCAAACACAAACUUUACAUAAGGUCACACUUUAUUUACACACACAAACACACCAAUUUAACAAUACCCCAUUUACAAACAUGCACACAAUAAGCAAUCCCCCUUAACCAUGCCAUACCUGGGUGCUGUGCUGAGCAGAGGUCCAGGCUGCAGGAUCCAGGAUCUUGCUCUUUCUCCUGGGGAGCAGGAGAGCCAUGCACUUUGAGCACAGCCUGCUUCCUGCUCCCUUCACAGUGCUCUGCUCGGGUUACAGCAAACCCCACUGCCCGAGCAGGUAAUCUGCUGCAGAGGGAGCCCAGCAGGUGAGUGGCUGCGCUGGGGGGUGGCUAAAGAGCCGCUCGUCCAGCACAGCAUCCCCGGACAGCUACAGCAGGGCAGCCCACCGGGAAACCUCUCGGUGGGCGCCCCGUAGAGGCCGGCGCCCUAGGCGAAUGCCUUAUUCGCCUUAAUGGUAGCGCCGGCCCUGCCUGGCACCCCCCUCCACAGUGGGCGGCGACCCGGCGGCUAGGAUUCGCACAGCCAGCACUGCAGAGAGAGUGAGUGAGCCAGGCAGGGGCAGAGAGCUGCGAGUGCGAGCGCGCCCCCCCAGAUGUUGCGCCCGGUGCGGCCGGCCCCCCCUGCACCCCUCACGCUACGCCUCUGGUAUGGUGUGUGGUGUUGUGUGUAUGUAUGGAGGAACUGUUUGUUCUGGGCUAAAACCCUCAGUGUUUUGACACCAUUUUACUGUUACUCCUCUGGCAGAAGUGUGGUUAAUCCCUGUAUGUGCAGCUUUUCAUAGUAAAAUACUCCAUAAACAGACUCAAGGUAUCAUGACCACUUCAAAUCACUGAAGUGGUUAUGGUGCAUGAAGUAACACCUUACAGCACAGUGUGAGGUUUCUAUGGGUGCAGGAUUUUAAUGCACUGGGAUGCAGGGUUAGUUAACACAGCAUGUUGUGAAGUUAAUACAGCAGGUGCUAAGUUAUAUAAUAAGUAUUUAUGGAAGAUGCUAGAGUUUACGUUGUGGUUUUUGGGGUGCUGUAUAUGGCUUGUUUUAGAAGGGACUUAAGUCAAUAUGUGUGGGAGGUGUUACAACUUAUAAACAUGGGAUGAAGCCCCUGAUCUUUUUGCCACACAGCAACGCCACCAAAAAUACUUUAUCUUCAUACCUUAUCCUACCCUGACCUUCCUCUCUUUCCCUUCACAAAUCUAGUUUAAAUUUUUACUUAGGAUUUACUACCAAUGCUUCUCUUACAAAACAGACACAAUGUACAGAGCAUGAAGCAUUCAUUUUGUAUGUAAGUAUGACGCAUUGUGUGUGUGUUUGUAUGGGUAUGGUUUGUUUGCACGGAUCAGUAUGAGUGUCUGCAUGGGUCAGUGUGGGUGUCUGUGUCUGCAAUGGUUAGUGUGCACAUGUGUCAGUGUGAGUGUAUGUGUCUGCAUGGGUUAGUGUGCACAUGUGUCAGUGUGAGUGUGUGUGUCUGCAUGUGUCAGUGUGUGCAUGUCUACGUGGGUCAGUGUGUGUCUGCAUGGAACAGAGAGUGUGUCUUUGUGAGUGUGUGUCUGCAUGCGUCAUGAGUCUUCAAAAAGGCCAAAGUUUUUAUUGAAAAAACAAUACAUUUCAAUUGUGGAAGAGUAUCAUGCAUGUGUAUAUGUAGGCACAUAUAUUAGUAUACAUGUAUUAUAUUAAUAUUUAUACACACACAUAUAUAUAUUAAUAUACACAAUAUUUACUAUAUAAAUAUAUUAUAAGCUGAAUAUAUUAUUACUAUAACACACAUGCAUUAAUAUACAUGUACAAAUGAAGGGACUGCAAGGAAUGUAUUCAGGAAACUGGCCUUAGGGGCAAUAAGGAGGGUAAAUCCAGCUAUGCUGGAUUCCACGAGUUCAGUAAGGUGAAGGUACACAGCUUUGCCAAGCUGUAAGUAUACAGAGAGUAUAGCUGUAGUAGACAGAGUCUAGAUAUCGUUAAUAUUUUGAAUUAUGGGACAGUCAACUGCCCAAAUAGACAUGCUUCUCUGCCUGAAGAGUCCAUACAGGUGUUUAAACACCAAUUGGAUAAAUACCUCCACAAGCAUAACAUACAGGGAUAUAAUUUCUAAUUAGUGGGGUAAUAGCUGCUUGAUCCAAGGAGAUAUCUGACUGCCAUUUUGGGGUGAAAAAUGAUUUUUUUCCUAGUUUGUUGCAAAAUUGGAAGCGCUUCAGACUGUUUUUUUUUUUUUGCCUUUCCUUGGAUCGACAGCAAAAACAUAUGUGAGGAAGGCUGAACUUGAUGGAUGCAAGUCUCUUUUCAGCUAUGUAACUAUGUAACUAUGUAACAUACCCCCAAUGAAAACCUGCAUGCAUUCAAUCUAUGCAUCCAACACCCACUUGUAAAAAGUCUGCACUUUUGCAAGCCCUCCUCUUCUAACCCCACCCAGACUUUCUCUAGCUGUCCAAUCACAGACUUCUCAAUGCAGCUCAAUGAGAAGUAUUUGCAAGACAGGUGCUGUGGGCAAGUGAUUUAGGUAUGUGGAGUGGUCCUUUAAGGUUAAAAAUAAAAUACAUAGUGCUUAAUAAAGUACUAUAUAAAAGAAAAGAAAUCCCUCCCUCUGAGACUACUGCUUAUGGUACAGUUGCUGAGCCCAUGGUACAUUGUCCCAUGCCGGUUUAUGCUUUCAGAACGUAAUAAAAGAGAUAUUCCACUAUUAAGGAUUGGACAAAUCUAAUGUUAGUAAGAUGUUGGUUAUGGUGAUAGUCAUGAAACGCGUUAGCUUAGAAUCAUUAAUCUUGUGCUUUCCAUUCCAAGGUUAUACAGAUGGCAUAAUAGGGCAGAGUUUAACAAUUGUUCUUAUUUAUUUAAUUUUAGAAAUCUUUCCCUAUCACCGGGAGUCAUUCCAAAAAUGCACAAUUACACGAAACAGAGUACAUUAAACAGCAGGCAGAGCAGAACAAAGUAUGCAGCCUACAGCAUAUAUGACAAAAUCUUGACAGCAGAUUGAAAUUUCAUGUUUACAUGGUUCUGUAAAUAGAAUGCCUCCCAGUGCUUUGAUUUUUAACAGGUUAAGAUAAACACAAAAAAACAAUCAGGACUAAAUAUACAAGUGGACAAUAAAACAUUCUCUCCUACAAAGCUUGGCGCAUGUAAGCAUAUAAGAAAAUGUGACAAUAGUUUAGUAAAUAAUGCUAUGGUGCAUAAGGUAGAUUAUUAAAAUAUAACUGGCAUUUUCUUUUAUUAUUGUUUAAAAUCAAAUAUUAUCUUUGAUAUAUCUUUUAUGUUUAUUAAUUUGCAGCACGUACAUAUUAGUAAAAAAAAAUAUUUCAAUUUAUCUCCUGAGAAAGAAACUCUACUUCACCAGCUAAGAAUCAUGCAGAUAAGCGAAAGCUUGUUAAUUUUCUCAAAUCUUGAAAUCCCGACAUCAUUCUUUCAAAUAAAUAUUAAAGAAAUAGUAAUUGAAAUCACAAUAUAGUUCAGUCCUGGCACAGUGAGGGCACAGUGGGAAGAGCAGAAUAAUAAACAAUGCUUCUGUUCCUCCACAAUAUAUGUUCAAUGACAGAAAAGUACAAAGUUUAUUACAAUCAUUGAUAGGAAGCUAAGAUGGAAGGGAUCAGUUCCAGGAUAGUGGUACAUAAAUGAAUGUGGACUUGUACAUUUAUUUGAAUUAGAAAUUUCACAAACACAUUUGAUAAACGUAUGGCAUAUGUAAACAUAAUACACUAUUAAAAUCCUGGAAAGUGACAUUUCCACUUUAAAUGCACACUGUAGGCACUUUAACAACUUAAUUUUACUUACUUCCCGACUCUCAUACCAUAGCAAAACGUGACGCCACACACAUGUGUAGUGAAGUCAUGGUCGGCCUUAGAGAAUAAUUGCAUUCAAUUCAUCUAAAUGGCAGAAACCUUAGCGCAUGAGGAGCAUUAGAAACAAGGAGCAGGUCAUGUCAGUGCCAAGGAAGACUCGGUGCUGGAUUAAAGGUAAGUAAUUAGUUUGAUUUUCAUUUAUUUUUAUUUUUAUUUUUUAUUUGACACAUGUGGGAUACCUAAUUGAAAGGGGCAUCAGGAUUGUAGCUGAUGGACAGGUGGCCAGAGCAGUCCAGUGCUGGAACACAGACUUUGGGGUAAAACCAUUUAUUGAUGGUUUAACAUUUAAAGGUGAGCCAGCACCAGGGUUCUACUGGCACCAUAACAACUUAAUUUUGAAUGUAAGAAAAAUUGCUUUAUUAAGUCUUUGUAGGAGCUUACUGCAAAAUUACAGAACUCUUUCCCAAAAUACAACAAGAUCUAGUUUCCCUGGCUUAGCUAUCUUUCAUGGAUCCCUCUAGGUGGAUGCCCAUUACCACCACCCACUCAGGGCUCCUCUCUGUCCCUCCUCAUACCUUUUAUUCCCCUCUUCUUUAACCCCUUACGGACACAGGGCAUGUGUGACAUGUCAUGAUUCCCUUUUAUUCCAGAAGUUUGGUCCUUAAGGAGUUAAACUCUAAUUCUAUCUAGCCCUCUGUUCCUAUCCUGUUUCCUUCAACUAUUGCUACUAUGUAUCUCUUUUCCAAUAGUAAUAAUAAUAUAAUGGUUCAGUUUUUACGAGUUAUAUGCAUAGUCUUGUCAAAAGCAGCCUAUAACAAUUUAGCUCUUAUAGCAUAGUACGGACUAUCCUAGCCUGGUGAAAAUUGGCACUUUGGGUUAUUGGUGGCUAAACUCAACUCAUCUUCUUCUGGCCAAGCCGAAAUGUUAAAAAGAAAUGCUGUCCACAAACAUUAGUGCCAAGCUUAAACAGUGACCCAGGCUCAUUAUAGAAAAUUCUUUGUCUCUGAAAUGUGUUUACUUUUCUGAAAUUCUUGCAGUGUAUGUAAUUUACACAGAUUCUUUUUUUCAUAACUGUCCAUCUUUAUUAUAAAGAUUUAUGCAUUAUCAUGCACAACAUGUGACCAUGUCAAUCCUGUGGAAUGAAUUUGCUCAUUAUUUCUAACGCUAAUGCAGCUCUGACACAACUGAUUCUUGGAGAUUAAACUCUCUAUCAAUUCCCCGCAUUGCAAAAGAAUGUGUUUACUUCAUUGGCAAUACAAUUUUUAAUUAAAUGGUUUGCUAUUAAUGAGCUGUGUGUUUAGAGAUGGAAUCAGUCUAAUCUGCAUUUAGUUAAUUGAUAUAACUGUUCUCAAAGGGCCUGGGACCUAGGUAUUUUCAAUGCAACAUUUAAAUAAACAUUGGUGAAAUAAAUUAAAAUAAUGAUAUAUAAAAUGAUAUGCAGGUACAACAGUUUGGAAAUACGUAUCAUGUCGCUCUGUAAAGGGAAGAAACUAAACUAUAUGAUGAAGCUCCCACGUAUGACGGGAGACUGGAGGGGAUUGCUAGAAAUCUCAUUAACAAGGCAAUCACUAUGGAAAACUACCUGUGUGAGCAAGGACAUUCUAUUAGUUUCCAUGGUAACUGCUGCACUUUUUCAACUUUGCAAAAAGUUAAUUUUUACAAUGGGUUAUUCACUAUUCACUAAAGUGGGAAUUGUCGAGAAUUCAAAAUGAAUUCCCACUUUUGUUACUUUGGCCUUAAAUUUGACAUUCACUUCCAAUUCCCACAUUAGUGAAUAACUCUGUAUUUGUGUCUCUCAAAUAUACAGGGUUAUUCAAUAAGGUGAGAAUUUCCAGGAAUUCAGUGUGAAUUUCAUCAUUUAGGACACAGAGACCAGGCAAGUGCCCUCGGCAGGAUGCACAAUUGGGGCCCCUUCCUAAUGUGGUUCCAUGGUCUAUAUGCGUUGUGUUUGCGUGUAGUUGUUGAGCCUUGUGUGUGGAGGAGACUGAGAGUUGUAUUUGGGAGAGAAGACUGGGUGUAUCUGUGUGUGCUGGUUGAGUGUUGUCUAUGGUGUCUGAAUUUUGUAUAUGGAGGGGAGUCUGGGUGUGGCUGAGUGUUGUGCGCAUGCGUAUGGCUGUGCUGUGUGGUGCCUUGAGAUUAGGAUGGGUUUUUCAUUUGCCCCUUCCUGGUUAACUUUUUGAGGAAGAAUGUAUUAUUUUGGGUGUCUGGUGGGGAGCUUUCCUUGGUGAAAGCAUUGUGAUCUGCACCAAUAACAAGUGCUGAUCACUUUAACAGUUUUGUGUCAGAUAGGGAUAGGGAUAGUCAGUUUGUGACAUGCUUCUGGAGGGUAUUCUGUUCAGAGAUGGCUAUUCAGAUUCCUUUCCAUUUGCUUACCAUAUACCUCCCAAGUGUUCCUAUUUAAGAGGGACAGUCUUUAUGUUUACUUAAAUCCCUCAAUCCCUUGUUUCUAUUUCUAAUACCAGAGAUCCAAAGCAAUAACACUCUGAGGAAUGUGUCUUUUAAAAAAUAAAUGUCUUUAGAAAUCAGUCUGUGUAAAUAAGAUACAAUUAUUGUUCUGAAUUACAUUUUAGUUGCAUAAAUUAUAAGUAAUUACAUUUGCAAAGUUGGGUGCUAUGCUAACACCCAUAGUGUAACAAGGCAGCUGAGAGAGCAAAUCAAGACUUAGAACUAGAGUUACCCUGUGUCUCUUUGCAACAUCAGGACAGUUGGCCAGACCUGCUCCCAUGGACUGGAUUUGCAUGUAAUAAUGCUAUUUAUUACUCUUCUCAGCACGGCCAUUUUUUUUUUGUCAUUUAUAGGCUCCAUUCUAAUGUUCUACCAGUAGCAUGUUCUGCUAAGGAAAAGCCUGAUCUGGAUGAACAUUUAAAAACCCUGGCACCCUGGCUGACUGAAGAAGCUGAACAAGCGAAAUGCAUUUUGUCAGAUGUUAUUUCAUUGGAUAUUCUGUUAAGUGCACUUUGUAUUGUUACAUAACUUGUGAUUUAAUAAAUUGUAAUUGAA
rnacentral:lncRNA from 1 species